UGCUCAUUCUUGCCAGCACAUCAGGGUUCGGUCACGUUUGUCACAUGGUCACUCCGUUGUGUACUGGAUGCUUAAAUCACAUGAACGUGGGGGAAGAGCUGACACCCUUCAUGAUUCCACACCACACCACCACCCAGCCACAGUACACCUAUUUACUUAUGUUUAUAUACAGGCUUGUUUACAGGAUGGAGGAAGGAGUUCACUCUGUAAGACAGUUACAAGGAUCUCAUUGGCAAAAUAUAGAGAGCACUCAAUGUCUGACAUGUAGUAGGUGCUCAAGAAAUUCAUCGUGGUAGCUGAUACCUUGAGGCCAAGAUACCCUUAGCUCAUUUCAGCAUCCAGCAACCCUCUGAAGUAGGUGUUUUGCCCCGUUUUAACAGUUGGGGAAAUGGCAUAAAGGCUAACCACCCAGGGCACAGAGAAUUCAGUGACACACUGGAAUGGAACCCACGGAUCUUACCCACUGGGCUCCUCCACUUCUUUGUGCCCACGUUGCAGGACUUUUGCAGGCAUGUCUGUGUGUUGGUACAGAUCUUCCUGUGUUGGAGGCCAGCGGGACUCACGGGCAGGCUCGGCCUUAAACUCUGUCAUCUUGAACAACUGGCCCUUCCAACCUUUCUUUUUCUUACCCAAAAGCUGAGUGCUUGCUUGGGAAAAGGUAGUAGAAAUUGGACUAAUCCCAAAAUUCUGACUUAAAGUUUGCUUUUUCACAGGUUUCUUGAAGGUUUAGAGUUCUUUGCCUUCACCCUUACUUUUGGUUUAACGGAUUUGAAGUCCUUGUUGGGUGUGGUCAGGAACACAAACCCCAGCCAUGGCCCUGAGCUGAUGGGAGGGGAGAAUGUUUUCCAGGUCCUGGCGGGGCGGAGAGCCCUCAGAGCCGACGUCACGGGAGUUGACCGCUAGAUGGCGGCAUAAACAGUUCUGGCUGCAAGGGGAGCGCCCUUUCUGUUCCUCCUCACCCCCGUCCAGCCGUUGUUCCGUUCUUCUCUGCUUGUAUUGAUAACUUUUCAUUUGCGAGGCUUUUUGGUCAAAAAAAAAAAAAAAAAAUCAAGCUCCUAUACGAGUCUUAUGCCGAAGGACGCGGGGUUAGGCAUGGCUCGCAGACUGGUGACACCUAAGCCCCACAAAUAAGAAUGAUUUUUAUAUCUUUAAAUGGUUGAAAAAGAGUAACUCUUCAUGACACGUGACAGUUAUAUGAAAUUCAAAUUUCAAUGUCUACCAAUAAAGCUCAUUGGAACACAGACACUCAUUUAUGUAUUACUACGGCAGCUUUCGUCCUAGGACAGCUAAGUUGAAAGUUAGGACAGAGCUUGAAAUAGCGACAGUCUGCGUCUUUAUGGAAGAAGCUUGCUGACCCCCGACAGAGAUCAGCCUCAUCUAAAUAAAGAUGCACCUUCCAGUGUCUUUGAAGUUCCAAUGUGUGAGUGUGGAAUUUGCGGUUCGUCUUCUUGGUGCUCUGUUUCCUUGGUACAAAAAUAGCAUCUGAUGGGAAGGCCCGUGCACAGUUCGGCAGCCACUCUGCAAACAUCCCUUGGCUGGGACCUCAGAGUGUGGCAAGGGGUUCUCACUCGCUCCUGACCUGGUGACCAGCCGCGGGAUCACAGGGAGGGUGGAGAGGUGACCUCGGCCUGCCCGCCCGCAACUGGGGAAGGGUCUUCAAAGGCCACAACAUUUUCACGGGGCCUGGAAGCAGGAGGUCAGAUGUUCCUUAGCGAAGGGGUGAGACAGGGCGAAGAAAACCUCGGCAAAGCUGAACCACUGCGGUUGGGCCGGGAGCGAAGGCAGGUGGGGCUCGCCAGAGCUGGGGCAGCCUCGGUGAAGGAGCGCGAGCCCCGGGGAGGCGGGGAGGCAGGAGGAGAAGCAGGCGGGGAAGGCGGUCACGAGUUCGUCUGCUCAUCCGUGAGUUUGUGGCGCUUGAGUGACAUGUGCCAGUCCAGUGUUUGUCGCCAAGUGUGGCCUUGGAUCCCCUGCCGCAUCACCCGAUAAACAGGUUCCCGGACUCGCCCCGACCCAAACUCAGACCUACAGAACGCAAGUACCCAAGUUCGGGGCGGGGGGGAGUGGGAGCAAAGCGGAGCCAACGAAGCAGGUUGACAUGAGAACUCGAAGAUGGAGAUCGAGGGUGUGCCCCGAGGAGCAAAAGAAUACCCCCCGCCCCCGCGCGCGGGAAGAAUCGGCCAUCAGUGGCCCACGCCGACGGGGUCCGGAGUCGCGGCCGGGGAGCUUGGCCGUGGCGGUGGCCGGGGACCGUGGCAGGCGCGGGCCCGCGAACGAACAGGGAAAGAGACCCAGGGCCUCUCCCCCUCGGCGACACGGGCACGAGGCUUGCCUGGAGCUGCUGCUGGGAACUUAGGGAGCCGACGGGCCGGGGAAACCGCGUCCCGCGGUCGGCCGGGGGCGCGCAGCGCGGUCGCGGGCCGCUUCUGACGCCGUGGGGAGCGGGAGGCGCAGAGCAGACCUUCCCCGCGACGCCGGGGUGUUGGCUCCCGCCGGCACCAGCCUGAGCCUGAGCGCGAGCGCCGUCCGCGGCCGGCAGGGGGCGCUGUCGCGACUGCGGGCCCGGUCCUGGGCGGCCGCCGCCUCCCGCCCCAGGCUCCGUCCCCGGGGACCCCCACCUGCCCCACAAGUCACCACUCAACCUCACACCAGCCAGGGACGGAGGAGUCCCCGGGCCGCCGCAGGAGCAACGAGGCCUCCAGGGAAGCCGCCUCUGAUCCGCUCCGGAGGAUUUAUGGAGCGAGAGAAAGUGUCUGGAUGGGCCACAAUUUAUAUAUCCACACACCUGCUGAAGGAUAUCAUGGUUGCUCCCAGGAUUUGGCAAUUAUGAAUAAAACUGCCCUAAACAUCCACAGGCAAGUUUUGUGUGGACAUCCAUUUUCAACUUCUGGACAAAUGCCAAGGAGCGUAAUCACUGAACCACACGGAUGGAAAAUCUGUGCUUGGCACUGGGAAGGAAGUUCAGCUCCAGAGAGGGGCUUUUCCUGUGGGUCUCCAGAACCCUCCUCCCACUCCACCCUACUCCACCCUCCUCACGACACGCUGAUGUGACGUCCCAAUACUUCACAAUACCAAAGGAUCUGUUCAGUAUUAAGACAGACAUAUUUUCAAUAUGGCUAUAUGGAAAAACAUGACAAAGCGAAAGUGAGCUUCUCUACAGUGGGUAUGGCCCAGGUGAAAAUAAAUCAUUGUGACUGCCGAGCUGGUGCAAAACCUGUUCCCCCUAAAUCAGACUUUCCACCUGAGGGAAAGGGAAAGCCGGAGGUGUGUUUGCUCUGGCUAAUGCGGCAGUAAUUCCUGGUUGCACACGAAGUUGGAAGGGUCCGGUGCAAGACAAGGAGCGCCGUGGGUCAUGGCGCUUCUCCCAGUGUCAUCCAAGGGCCAUCUGGGGGCCUGUGACAUGCAGACUCCAGGGCACAGCCUGGCCCAACUGCACGGAACACCCAGGAGAGACCCAAGCAGGGGCAUCUCAGAAGUUUCCAGGCUGCUUAGAGGUCCAUUGACUUUGAACAUCAUUAAGUUAAAAGCACAAAGUUUACAAACCUUGAAACCUGGAUUUAGACGCCCUGUCCUCAUUCUUCAGAAGAGUAAAGUCUCUUCUCUGAAAUUCAGUAUUACUGGAAUAUUAAUUAAUUCAGUAGUAACUGUGGGCCUGCAGUGACAUCUCCUCAUGAAUCCUUUAACCUUAUUUGGGGCACAAAAGACCGAGUUCCUCGUUAGUGUAUUUUUAGAGAUAUGUGUAGUAAAAGAAGAAGUAAGCCAGGUUUUCAGCUCAGGCCUCAAAUGGUAGUUGCUGUAGCUGAGUGACUUUGGACAAAUAUUUAAGUACCUUAAUUCUCAUCUGCAAAAUGGGUAUAAUGGUCCCAGGACCCGCACAGCUGUGGAAUAUACUGAAGCUAAAGUGUUUGAGACCCACACAAAAACACAGCCAAGUGUCUCUGAAGACAGGAAACGGGGGUUCAGAAAGUACACAAUGUCUCCCUCUUCUGCUGCUGUGUUUUAUUUCACAUGAAAUAAUAAUAAUGACUAGCUUUGAAGCUUUAUCAUGUACUAGGUAUUUGCCUAAGCUCUCCAUGUAUUAUUUAAUUCUGAAACAAUCCUAUGAAAUAGGUUAUACUCACGAUGCCCAUUUUAUAGAUGCAGAAACUGAGAAAGGAACGUGAAGCAGCUUGCUUAUGGCCGCAUAGCUAGUAAAUUUCUAAGUCAGGAUUUGAACAUGGGACCUCAGAGCCUGGAGUUCCCCUGUCUCUUUGGGCCUCCAGCCCUUAAAGACCCAAUAAUAAGCUGGAAGAGGAAAAUUGAAGUCUGCUUUCUGAGAAACAGUGAAAAUUUAAUUCCACUUUAGCAGUCGUAUGGUAAGAAGGUCCAGAUAAAAUUAUUCUGGUGCCUAAGGCAAAGCAAAAAGUUUUCUCUGGUGAGAUUUAUAUAUAGCACCUGUUCUGAGAUGCUUACAGUUUAAACCUGAAAUGUCCAAUUUGGUAGCCAUUGGCCACAGGUAUUAUUUAAGUUUAAAUUUUAAUUCAUCAGUGGAAUAUGAGAGGCCAGAUAUAGGCCCACACGUGUAUCAAAAACUGAUUUUCUUUUUUUUUUAAAGAUGUAUAUAUUUAUUUAUUUGACAGAGAGAGAAAGAGAGAGCACAAG